UAACCGCCGCCGCCGGAACUA
rnacentral:siRNA from 1 species